UGGGGAAUAUUGCACAAUGGGCGAAAGCCUGAUGCAGCGACGCCGCGUGAGGGAUGACGGCCUUCGGGUUGUAAACCUCUUUCAGCAGGGACGAAGCGUGAGUGACGGUACCUGCAGAAGAAGCACCGGCCAACUACGUGCCAGCAGCCGCGGUAAUACGUAGGGUGCAAGCGUUGUCCGGAAUUACUGGGCGUAAAGGGCGCGUAGGCGGUUUGUCGCGUCGUCGGUGAAAACCAGCAGCUCAACUGUUGGCUUGCGGGCGAUACGGGCAGACUUGAGUAUUUCAGGGGAGACUGGAAUUCCUGGUGUAGCGGUGAAAUGCGCAGAUAUCAGGAGGAACACCGGUGGCGAAGGCGGGUCUCUGGGAAAUAACUGACGCUGAGGAGCGAAAGCGUGGGUAGCGAACA
rnacentral:rRNA from 1 species